AUUGAACGCUGGCGGCAUGCCUUACACAUGCAAGUCGAACGGCAGCACGGGGCAACCUGGUGGCGAGUGGCGAACGGGUGAGUAAUGCAUCGGAACGUGCCAUUGAGUGGGGGAUAACGUAGCGAAAGUUGCGCUAAUACCGCAUAUUCUGUGAGCAGGAAAGCAGGGGACCGCAAGGCCUUGCGCUCUUUGAGCGGCCGAUGUCAGAUUAGCUAGUUGGUGAGGUAACGGCUUACCAAGGCGACGAUCUGUAGCGGGUCUGAGAGGAUGAUCCGCCACACUGGAACUGAGACACGGUCCAGACUCCUACGGGAGGCAGCAGUGGGGAAUUUUGGACAAUGGGCGCAAGCCUGAUCCAGCCAUGCCGCGUGAGUGAAGAAGGCCUU
rnacentral:rRNA from 1 species